GACGAACGCUGGCGGCGUGCUUAACACAUGCAAGUCGAACGGAAAGGCCCUGCUUUUGUGGGGUGCUCGAGUGGCGAACGGGUGAGUAACACGUGAGUAACCUGCCCUUGACCUUGGGAUAACUUCAGGAAACUGGGGCUAAUACCGGAUAGGAGCUCCUGCUGCAUGGUGGGGGUUGGAAAGUUUCGGCGGUUGGGGAUGGACUCGCGGCUUAUCAGCUUGUUGGUGGGGUAGUGGCUUACCAAGGCUUUGACGGGUAGCCGGCCUGAGAGGGUGACCGGCCACAUGGGGACUGCGAUACGGACCAGACUCCUACGGGAGGCAGCAGUGGGGAAUAUUGCACAAUGGGCGGAAGCCUGAUGCAGCAACGCCGCGUGCGGGAUGACGGCCUUCGGGUUGUAAACCGCUUUCGCCUGUGACGAAGCGUGAGUGACGGUAAUGGGUAAAGAAGCACCGGCUAACUACGUG
rnacentral:rRNA from 1 species